UACGAAGGGGGCUAGCGUUGUUCGGAAUCACUGGGCGUAAAGGGCGCGUAGGCGGCUUUAUAAGUCGGGGGUGAAAGCCUGUGGCUCAACCACAGAAUUGCCGUUCGAUACUGUAGAGCUUGAGACCGGAAGAGGUAAGUGGAACUGCGAGUGUAGAGGUGAAAUUCGUAGAUAUUCGCAAGAACACCAGUGGCGAAGGCGG
rnacentral:rRNA from 1 species